UUCUCUCCUUUCUUACUCUCAAAUUUCAUUUCUCAAAUAUCCCAAUAAUAGUCUCUGUUUUAUAUUCUUUUGAUAUACAUACGUCUUCUACAACUCAAGCCUUGUCUCUGAUCUCUUUUGAUAUACAUACGUCUUCUACAACUCAAGCCUUGUCUCUGAUCUUCUCAUUCCCUGAGCAUAGAGACUUAAAGACUCAUCACCCCUACAAAGAUGAACAUAUAUUCAAAAGGAGUGAGUUAACGAGUAGGCCAAAAUGGGAAAGCUAAGUGAUCUGAUCGCUCACAUGCAUGUCCUUUUGAGAGAAACUACAGAUGGAAAAAAGAUCGGAUGUGAAGGAACAGAGAAUCUUGGGAAUGUGCCUUACUUUGUAGGAUGAGUGAUAAAUGCUUGCUUGUAAGCUAUAUAUGUGAUGGUAAAAUGUAUGUGUAGUUAUGACGGCUGGUAAAAGCUCUAGUUUCUUAGAACACAAGAAACACAAAAUCUUAAGAACAUAAGUAAAAGAAUUACUCUCUUUUAUUAGA